ncrna:unclassified sequences RAGATH-18 RNA
UCUGUGGAGAGUUAUACCAAACUAGAGUAGUAGAAAUAUGAAAUAGGACUUGAUGAAACAGAAA